UACAGAGGUCCCAAGCGUUGUUCGGAUUCACUGGGCGUAAAGGGUGCGUAGGCGGUCGGGUAAGUCUGAUGUGAAAUCUCCAAGCCUAACUUGGAAACUGCAUUGGAUACUAUCCGGCUCGAGGAAUGGAGGGGAGACUGGAAUACUUGGUGUAGCAGUGAAAUGCGUAGAUAUCAAGUGGAACACCAGUGGCGAAGGCGAGUCUCUGGACAUUUCCUGACGCUCAGGCACGAAAGCGUGGGGAGCAAAAGGG
rnacentral:rRNA from 1 species